AGUGAACGCUGGCGGUAGGCCUAACACAUGCAAGUCGAACGGCAGCACAGUAAGAGCUUGCUCUUACGGGUGGCGAGUGGCGGACGGGUGAGGAAUACAUCGGAAUCUACUUUUUCGUGGGGGAUAACGUAGGGAAACUUACGCUAAUACCGCAUACGACCUACGGGUGAAAGCAGGGGAUCUUCGGACCUUGCGCGAUUGAAUGAGCCGAUGUCGGAUUAGCUAGUUGGCGUGGUAAAGGCCCACCAAGGCGACGAUCCGUAGCUGGUCUGAGAGGAUGAUCAGCCACACUGGAACUGAGACACGGUCCAGACUCCUACGGGAGGCAGCAGUGGGGAAUAUUGGACAAUGGGCGAAAGCCUGAUCCAGCCAUACCGCGUGGGUGAAGAAGGCCUUCGGGUCGUAAAGCCCUUUUGUUGGGAAAGAAAAGCAGCAGGUUAAUACCCCGCUGUUCUGACGGUACCCAAAGAAUAAGCACCGGCUAACUUCGUG
rnacentral:rRNA from 1 species